UCUUCAUCCUCAUAGAUUGUUUUUGCUGCAGUCACUGGCCCAUAAGCGUUCUUCAUAACCCCACUAAAAUCAUGCAACCAUUGUGGCUGCUCAUUUGGGUGAAGUUCUAUAUCUGCCAUCCGAUCAGAAGGAGGACUAACAGCCAAAUAACAAUCAUCAUCACUUCCAUGUGGGAAAAAGUCCUUCCUUCUUUUGCUGCUGACAGGUGAUAUGUCUGUCCCAUCACCGUUGCUAUGGCUGGAUGGCUGAGUUGACAAAUUGAGCCCAGACCCAUUGAGCAGCUUGUUUGAGUGAGAAUUAG
rnacentral:misc_RNA from 1 species